UGAAGAGAGAUGGGCGAAUCACCGACGGUUAUUGAUUUAUUAUUUAUGGCGAAUCAUACAUUGCUUUAAUCGUGUCUUCUGGUCCCUUUUCUAUUCUACAUAGUUGAAGGACAACCCAAGGAAAUUGUCCGAGGCGACAGAGGCUCUUGGUGGCGUUUCUGUUUAUUUCUGCACUGCCACCUGUGGGAAUCAAGCGAGGCUCAUUUUGGGGGGCGUCCCGGCUCUAGCUGUUGCCACAAGGGCAGAGACGUGACCCGGGCCUCAGGGGAAGGAGUCGAACCAGCCUGGUGUCAUCUGUCUUUGGUAUGGGGUGGCCCUCAGGUGUCGCUGAGGGCGUCACGAGGCUGCUUGUUGGCGUCAUGGCUAAAAUGGCCCCACCUCCGUGUUUUCUGGUUACUCUGGCUUCUUCUCCGCCCACCUUCUACGGAUGCCGAAGCUUGCUUUCAGGAGCAAUUUCCUGCCACCCCUCCGCAACACUCAUGGCCAAAUGGCAGCCAUCUUCCAAAAUAAUAUCGCAAAUAAUAAUAACAAUUCGCGACUCCUAAGGGCUGACGUUUAUUGAGAGCUUCGUGGUAAGCGAAUGCCAAGCGCCUUCGAUGAAUCAUCUUCUUCGGACUCGGCCCCUCGAGAUGCCGUUAAAGGCUGGUCAGGAGGGUCCCUGGGGGGCUCCCGGAAGCCCCGGCUGCAGAUGCACGGCCCCUCCCCCAGGAGCCGUUCCAGAGCCCGGAGCCCAGCCGGCCUCCAGAGAUCGGGGACCUAAUUCAUCCCACAAGGCCCGCGGAUGUGAGGCAGCAGCACAGAACUUCAUCCUACCGUCCGCCGGGUGAUGCCUCCUUCCUGCCGCAAACACCCACCGCGUGCCAGGGCCCCUGCUUACCUUGGGGACACUGCGACACGGAAGUCCCUGGCCCCCGCCCUUGGCAUCUCACGGUCUGGGACACAGCCUCCCCGCACUUGGGGGAGAGGGACCAGCUGUACAAACACAGGCCGGGGCAGGGAGGCAGCUGAGAGGUGAGAUGCCGUCUUUCCAGCAGCCCCACGCCCCACACUUGCGCCCCACAGACACUCUCCCCGGAGAAUACGUGUGCGCGCGGCCCCCGGAGGGGCGAAGCGUACUGGUGAGUGUGCGUGCGUGGGCAGGUGUGGCGGCUGCGUGU